GGGCUUGAACUCACAACCCUGAGAUCAAGAGUUGCAUGCUAUACUGACAGCCAGUCAGGCACCCCAGGCUUCCUUUUCUCUCAGAGCCCCCCUCACCUAUGUUUUUCCUCCAAAGACUCUGCUUUUCCUAAAGCUGGUGUUUCUAAGGGCUUUGCAGAAGCCUAGGGGAGGCUAGAGAGAAGGCUCCAGGGGCUAGGAAAAGGUGAGCAGGGACCUCUUUUUCCUCCCAUCCUUACUUGCCCACAAAAUGGUUUACAGGAGGCAAAGGUGGACCUGUGUGGAUGGCAUGGUUGAGCCCUCAUGGACUGUAGAGGGCCAACAAGCAUCACAGCACCCUCGAUAAAACGGCUACCAAAUCUGUAAGAGAGCCACUACGUCUCCACAGUUUCCUCUUCACUCGAGCCCCGGUCCGACACAACCCCAGGAACACAGCAGGGCGUACUUUUAUAUUCAAGUGGAGGCUUUCGGCUGCUUUCUCCAUCCUGCUUCCCCAGGCCUUAUCAGGGUUCUGAUAUGGCUGUGUCUAUAAUGAAAAGUGAAAAAUCCAAUCAAAGAUAAAAUAUAGGGCUAUUAAAGAAAAGAGAUAAUGUAUUUGGAUGAUUGAUUUUCCUUGACUAUCAUACAAAGAUGGGCACUAAUCUUCAACAUUUGCUGGCUCUCACAGCAAGUUCAACGGGUCAUUAAAACGAGGAUAUCUCCUGGAGAUUCUAAAGCAGUGAGGAGUGAUUUGCCUUUUGUGAUUCAUUGGCAAUUGAAACUCUUCCUGGCUGAAAGGAAGGGAGCCACAGAUAAGUUCUUCUGACUAAUACUGACCGGUAGUCUGUGGUUUGUAGAGGGGGCUUUACUUCCCCGUGACAAGAGAGUGCACCCUAAACCCUUAGCUAAAGGUUUUAUUCACGCUUAGGAGAACUGGGGGCAUUGAGAUAUGACCCCAUACCAUUCCCACAGUAGGGAGCUCUAAAAAUGUUUCUGAUAUUUUAUGCUCACUUGAUGGUGGAGGAGGCACUUUCCAAUUCAUGUUGAAGUUGACCUUAAAAUAGAAAGGAACACGGGAUUUUAUUUGUUUUGCUUAUAAUAUUGUUUAUUGUCCCAGGAAAGUAGACCUUAAGGCUUUGACCAAUCCCCGGCAGGUUCAGCCAUAGAGCUGGAUUUUAAAUAAUAUAGGAGGAAG
rnacentral:lncRNA from 1 species